CUAUAGCUCAGUCGGUUAGAGCAGUGGACUCAUAAUCCAUCGGUCGCGGGUUCAAGUCCUGCUGGGG
rnacentral:tRNA from 1 species